rnacentral:rRNA from 1 species
GAUGAACGCUGGCGGCGUGCUUAACACAUGCAAGUCGAACGGAAAGGCCCAAGCUUGCUUGGGUACUCGAGUGGCGAACGGGUGAGUAACACGUGGGUGAUCUGCCCUGCACUUCGGGAUAAGCCUGGGAAACUGGGUCUAAUACCGGAUAGGACCACUUCUUGGAUGUUGUGGUGGAAAGUUUUUUCGGUGUGGGAUGAGCUCGCGGCCUAUCAGCUUGUUGGUGGGGUAAUGGCCUACCAAGGCGUCGACGGGUAGCCGGCCUGAGAGGGUGUACGGCCACAUUGGGACUGAGAUACGGGCCAGAGUCCUACGGGAGGCAGCAGUGGGGAAUAUUGCACAAUGGGCGCAAGCCUGAUGCAGCGACGCCGCGUGGGGGAUGACGGCCUUCGGGUUGUAAACUCCUUUCGCUAGGGACGAAGCGUUUUUGUGACGGUACCUGGAGAAGAAGCACCGGCUAACUACGUG